rnacentral:rRNA from 1 species
AAUGAACGCUGGCGGUAUGCCUAACACAUGCAAGUCGAACGAGACCUUCGGGUCUAGUGGCGCACGGGUGCGUAACGCGUGGGAACCUGCCCUUAGGUUCGGAAUAACUCUUCGAAAGGGGUGCUAAUACCGGAUAAUGUCCUCGGAUCAAAGAUUUAUCGCCCUUGGAUGGGCCGGUGUUGGUUUAGCGAGGUGGUGGGGUAAAAGCCUAGCAAGGAGACGAUCCGUAGCUGGUAUGAGAGGAUGAUAAGCCACACUGGAACUGAGAGACGGUCCAGAGUGCAAUGGGAGGCAGAAGUGGGGAAUAGUGGACAAUGGGCGAAAGACUGAUCAAGAAAUAACGCGUGGGUGAAGAAGGACUUAGGGUUGUAAAGAACUGUUGGUGGGAAAGAAAAGAAGAAGGUUAAUACAAAGUUGUUAUGAAGGUACCAAAAGAAUAAGCACGGGCUAACUUAGUG